rnacentral:misc_RNA from 1 species
GUUUAAAUACGGAGAGAGCCGCGUGCUUCUUCAGUCCGGUACCAACAGUCCAAACAGAUCCAUAUCCGGACCCAGAGGGAAGAAAACAAGUAUCGCGUGAAUCACCGAAAUAUCACAGAAACUGUAAACAAAAAACGAAGAAGAAGCUUCGUUUUUUCGAAAUUCACGUGAAUCGUGUUAUUUUGACAAGAAACAAAAAGAGGGGGAACAAAAAAAAAGAAAAGAAAAGAAAAGAAAAAAUAGAGGAAAAUAAGAGUGAGAGCUGUUUGAAAGGAUUAAAAAGAGUGCGUGUAGCAAUGUGUCAGUGAAAAGUUGCAAGAGAAGAAACGAAUCGAGAAGGAAAAAAAAUCGCGAAGGAAGAAAAUACAGUAUGACUAACAGUAUGAAGCAAACCGUUAUUAAAAAUCCAACAUGGUGGAAGAGACGAUCGACGCUGGAACGUGGAUUAACCGUGAUAGCAGUUUGCGCGGUGCUUUUAGCUAUCGGAUUUGCUAUCGCAUUCGGUGUUCUAGCUGCGAAUAUAGCAUCUUGCAACGUAUCAUCUAGAAACGAUCCUGUUAACUCAGAAGGAUUACCAUCCACAGCCAACGCUUUGAACGGAUAUCGGCAGAAUAAAGAUAUUCAUGUCGUCGAUAGAGGAUUCCCCUGUGACGAAGAUGUAUGCUAUACGCAAGAAUGCAUACAUACGGCUUCCAGAUUGUUAAAAAACAUGGACCGUGAGGUAGAACCGUGCGAUGACUUUUACGAUUUUGCUUGCGGUGGUUUCCUAAAAUCUACCAUCAUCCCGGACGACAAGACCACUGUAAACACGUUUACCGGUAUCAGCGACGAGCUGCAGAAUCAAUUAAGGACCAGCAUCGAGGAGAAGAGUCCCCCGAACGAGCCGAAACCGUUCAGACUCGUCAAGAAUUUGUACAAAGCUUGUAUGAAUAAGACGGUGAUCGAGCAGCAAGGCUUAGACCCUUUGUUGAAUAUUUUACGAAAACUUGGUGGUUGGCCUAUAUUGGAAAACCAAUGGAAUGAAACUGAAUUCAAUUGGAAAGAAUCGGUGUACAAGUUCCGUAAGAUGGGAUACUCAGUCGAUUACUUUAUCGAUUUUAGCAUCGGUGUUGAUUUGAAGAACAGCACGAAACGGAUAAUCGAUUUGGAUCAAGCUGCUCUUGGAUUAUCACGCGAAUAUUUGUCCAAAGGCUUCACUGAUAAAAUUGUACAAGCUUAUUAUAGCUAUAUGGUUGAUAUUGCAGUAAUUCUUGGAGCUAAUAAAACUGAUGCAGAAGUCGAAUUGAGAGAAUCGUUGGAAUUUGAAAUGAAUCUUGCCAAUAUUUCUUUACCAAAUGAAAAACGUCGAAACGCUACUCUUCUUUAUAAUCCUAUGACGGUACGAGAAUUAUCGAACACGUAUCCCAGUAUACCAUGGAAGGAAUACUUCAACACCCUUCUGGCGCCUAAGAUUCAAGUUGACGAAGAAGAAAUAGUGAUCGUCAGCGUUCCUAAUUAUAUUGCGAGUUUGGAGAAAUUAUUAAUCACCACUCCAAAAAGAGUGCAAGCUAACUACGUGAUGUGGAGAGCAGCCGCCUCUUCUGUAAGCUAUCUCACGGAUGAAAUUCGUAAAAGACAAUUGCAAUAUUCCACGGCAUUAAGUGGGAAAACUGAGAGAGAACCUAGAUGGAAGGAAUGUAUUGAUACGGUUUCCGGUAGUUUAGCUAUAAGUGUUGGCGCUAUGUACGUCAGGAAAUACUUCAAACAAGAUGCAAAAAAUAAUGCCGUAGAAAUGGUAGCUGAUAUUAGAAAAGAAUUCACCAAGAUAUUAAGAAAGGUUGAUUGGAUGGACAAAGAUACAAAAAGGAGUGCUCUGGACAAAGCAGCUAACAUGUCUAGUCACAUUGCUUAUCCCGAUGAAUUGUUAGAUGAUAGUAAACUCGAACAAUUCUACGAGAAAUUGGAAUUAACGACUGAUAAUUAUUUGGAAGAUAUUUUAAAUUUGACUCUAUUCGGGGUUGAAUAUUCUUUUAAUAAAUUGAGACAACCUGUGAACAAAAGUGACUGGGUGACUCACGGAAGGCCAGCUAUCGUUAAUGCUUUUUAUUCGUCUCUUGAAAAUAGUAUACAAUUCCCUGCUGGUAUCUUGCAAGGUGCUUUCUUUAAUAACGAUCGACCAAGAUAUAUGAAUUAUGGCGCCAUUGGUUUCGUUAUUGGCCACGAAAUAACACACGGCUUUGACGAUCAGGGCAGACAAUUCGAUAAAAACGGAAAUCUAGUCGAUUGGUGGGCGCCGCAAACAAAGGAAAAGUAUCUAGAAAAAGCGGAAUGUAUUAUUCAUCAAUACGGCAACUAUACCGUGGAAGAUGUUAACUUGAAUUUAAAUGGUAUCAAUACCCAAGGUGAGAAUAUUGCAGACAAUGGUGGAAUAAAAGAAGCUUAUCUAGCGUAUCAAGAAUGGGUAAAGCGCAAUCACAUAGAACCAAAAUUGCCAGGACUUCCUUAUAAUCCUCAACAAUUGUUCUGGAUUAGCGCAGCAAAUACUUGGUGCAGUAAAUAUAGACCAGAAGCGAUGAAACUCCGUAUUACAACAGGCUUUCACAGUCCUGGUAAAUUCCGCGUACUGGGACCUCUUUCGAACAUGGAAGAAUUCUCCAAGGAUUUUAAUUGUCCUUUAGGCUCGAAGAUGAAUCCCGAAAAAAAAUGCGCCGUUUGGUAAAAAUCAAUGUAAUGGAAGAAUAAUGAAAAAACUUGUAACAAAAGUUGUAGCAGAAUGAUAACAAUGAAAUUUAGAAUCUCUUUAAAAUCUCAACAAAAAAAGAAGAAGAACAUUUGAGGCUGAAACACUUUUUCUCUGCACGUUCCAUUGAAACCGACGAUCUGAUUCGAUCAAGGAAAAUUACAAAUAAAAUUUCCGCAUAUCUUGAUUGUCGAAGAUCUUGGUGGAAUUCGUAGAAGAAACAACGAUAGAAGUGACGAUGCUUCGAUAGUAGUGAAAAUGAUGAAAUCUAAUUUGAAGACAUGAUCGUGUUCGAGAAAGAUCUCACUAAGACAUCCAAAGAGAUUCACGUUCAUAAAUUGACUUGAAUUAUACGGUGCAUAUUAUUAAUAUUGUUCGUUAAUAUAUAAGUCCUUUUUUAUAAGAUAGACGUCCGAGUUUCGAUAAGUAUUGUAAAUAAAGAAAGACCGGGAAACGAGAUAGCGCGUCACGACGAUUUAAAAUUUUCUAUAAUUAUAUUUUAGAAAAUCUAGUACACUCCUAUAUUAAAGAUUCUCUGAAUCAUUGAAAAAAAAAAA